GACGAACGCUGGCGGCGUGCCUAAUACAUGCAAGUCGAGCGGAUGACGGAGGAGCUUGCUCCUCCUGAUUCAGCGGCGGACGGGUGAGUAACACGUGGGCAACCUGCCCUGUAGAUUGGGAUAACUGCGGGAAACCGGGGCUAAUACCGAACAAUCCUUCGGACCUCAUGGUCCGAAGUUGAAAGAAGGUUUCGGCUGUCACUAAAGGAUGGGACCGCGGCGCAUUAGCUAGUUGGUGAGGUAACGGCUCACCAAGGCCACGAUGCGUAGCCGACCUGAGAGGGUGAUCGGCCACACUGGGACUGAGACACGGCCCAGACUCCUACGGGAGGCAGCAGUAGGGAAUCUUCCACAAUGGACGAAAGUCUGAUGGAGCAACGCCGCGUGAGUGAAGAAGGUUCUCGGAUCGUAAAACUCUGUUGUGAGGGAAGAACAAGUACCGGAGUAACUGCCGGUGCCUUGACGGUACCUCAUUAGAAAGCCACGGCUAACUACGUGCCAGCAGCCGCAGUAACAC
rnacentral:rRNA from 1 species